UUUUUGUUUCAUCUCUGAUUUUGGGGCGGAAAGGCCUCUGGAUGCCGGGACCAGCACUUGGACCUCGAGUUCAUCAUUGGCAUGCCCGAUCAGACCUGUUCCAUUGUGUAUCAUACCGUUGGCCAAUAAGGCCCACCAUGACAUUCUGGGGUCCACUGGUAUUUGACGUACCACACAGAAGGAAAAUGGAGGUGUACAGGAAAUGAGAGGAGCGCUUGGCAUGUUAUUCCGAUGAGUGACAAAAACAAAGACAUGGAAAAACAUAAGCAAUGCUUAGGAGUGGUGCGCGAGGGAGGCGGGUGGUGUUAGACAGGGGUCGUUUCCCAUCACUUUGAACCUGUUGACAUCAUAGCUGUGUAACGCUGCCAUCACCCGAAAAGAUGUUGAUGGUGGUCUCCCUUCACCCUUACGCCACCUUGCACACCCUCCCUCACCAAAGCCACCGUUCAAAUGAGUCCAACACCCAAAUACAAACCAAAAACCAAAUGAAAACCGAGAAAAGCCACCAGCAUUGUCAAGAAAAAG